GAACACCUUGUUGGGAGAUACCGGUUUGAUCCGGAGCCGAAGGAGCAACCGCCCCGGAAACUCUCAGGCAAAAGGACCACAAGGCGUCG
rfam:Agrobacterium albertimagni AOL15 Contig_23, whole genome shotgun sequence.